AGAAUCAACGCUGGCGGCGUGCCUAACACAUGCAAGUCGAACGCGAAAGCCCCGCAAGGGGUUAGUAGAGUGGCAAACGGGUGAGUAACACGUGGGUGACCUGCCUUCGAGUGGGGGAUAACGUCCCGAAAGGGACGCUAAUACCGCAUGAUAUCCCGCCUUUGGAAAGGUGGAGAUCAAAGCUGGGGAUCGCAAGACCUGGCGCUUGAAGAGGGGCCCGCGCCUGAUUAGCUAGUUGGUAGGGUAACGGCCUACCAAGGCGACGAUCAGUA
rnacentral:rRNA from 1 species